rnacentral:rRNA from 1 species
CUGCUGCCUCCCGUAGGAGUUUGGGCCGUGUCUCAGUCCCAAUGUGGCCGUUCACCCUCUCAGGCCGGCUACUGAUCGUCGCUUUGGUAGGCCGUUACCCUGCCAACUGGCUAAUCAGACGCGGGUCCAUCUCACACCGAUAAAUCUUUUCCGGCCGAAUCAUGCGACUCCGUCGU